CUGCUUAAAGCCGGCGGUUCCCCUUUGGGUUGGGAACCUGCAGGCAGCUCCCGGUGUCUGCAGCGACCGGCCCUACCCUCUAGAGAACUUUUUCCAGCAAACACACAUGAUGUUUUGGCUGCAUUUCCUUUUCAUUGUGACGGCUUUCCAAGGGGCUCGGGCUCAGGCUCGGCUGGUGGAGUCCGGAGGGGACAUUAAGAAGCCGGGACAAUCUCUGCGCCUCACCUGUAAAGGCUCCGGAUUUGAUUUCAGCCAGGCCGGGAUGCACUGGGUCCGACAAGCUCCCGGGAAGGGACUGGAGUGGGUCUCUGUGAUUUUCUUCGAUGGGAGUAAGGAAUAUUACGCCGCUUCUGUCAAAGGGCGAUUCACCACCUCCAGGGACAACUCCCAGAACCUGGCCUAUUUAGACAUGAGCAGCCUGAAGCCAGAGGACACCGCCCGGUAUUACUGUGCAGCGUCACAGUGCGUGAAAACCGGUCUGAGCUGAGACAAAAACCCUCCCUCUGCAACGGCGUGAGGCCGCUGCUCUGGGUGGCGCUCAGGGUCUGCGAGUUACAAUGAGCCCGGUGAGG